AAUUGGAGGGCAAGUCUGGUGCCAGCAGCCGCGGUAAUUCCAGCUCCAAUAGCGUAUAUUAAAGUUGUUGCAGUUAAAAAGCUCGUAGUUGAAUUUCGGGGUUAGUAGGCUGGUCAUGCCUCUGGUAUGUACUGGUCUCACUGAUUCCUCCUUCCUGAUGAACCGUAAUGCCAUUAAUUUGGUGUUGCGGGGAAUUUGGACUGUUACUUUGAAAAAAUUAGAGUGUUUAAAGCAAGCUAACGCUUGAAUACAUUAGCAUGGAAUAAUGAAAUAGGACGUUCGAUCCUAUUUUGUUGGUUUCUAGGAUUGACGUAAUGAUUAAUAGGGAUAGUUGGGGGCAUUAGUAUUCAAUUGUCAGAGGUGAAAUUCUUGGAUUUAUUGAAGACUAACUACUGCGAAAGCAUUUGCCAAGGAUGUUUUCAUUAAUCAAGAACGAAAGUUAGGGGAUCGAAGACGAUCAGAUACCGUCGUAGUCUUAACCAUAAACUAUGCCGACUAGGGAUCGGAUGAUGUUAAUUUUUUAAUGACUCAUUCGGCGCCUUACGGGAAACCAAAGUGU
rnacentral:rRNA from 1 species